CUGCCCCAGCUAGUGCGGGUUCUAAUCCUUAGCCCCGAAAGGCUCCACCUACUAGUUUACUAAUAGGAAACACCUGCCCUCGAGAUGGUCGUUAACCUGAGGGACUGUGAGCAGCACGUGUCCAAGCGACUGGUUGCCCUGGUAACCUAGCUGACGUCAGUUCCCCCCUAUAAGCGAUAGCAUUCCCUCGCCCCGCCCUCAGUGGUGAAGAUGAUGGCCCCGUAGCAGUCACCGCCUGCCGCAGACAGUGGUGUGUUGCUCCAAGACCUGGCUUCGGACAUGUAAGGUCUUCUGUCCGACGGACCGUGGAUGUCCCUGUCCCUGUCUCCGGGCUCUUUCUUCGGUCUCGAGGCUAGACGACUACAAGGCUCGCGGGCCUGCAGCUUGCAGCCCAACGUGGGGUUAUGGAAAGAGACGUGGACUUAGAAACCUGAAUUACAUGCCCCACUCCCGUCAAAGUCUCCCUGCUCAGCCAGUUGGUUCAUCUGGAGAGUGAGGAUCCCAGUAAAGGAAGAGGCAUCCUACUCUUUAAAAAGUCUCUGUUUAUUUGCGCUUUGUCUUAGUUGCGGCCUCUCAGUGGUAACCUCUGGCCAGCCCCAUUUUACACAGAAGAGGAAAAAUAGAGGCUCAGAAAGACAAAGUGACCUGUCCGGGGUCUCGCAGCAAGUUCGGAUUCAGCCCAACGCCUGAGCCCUUGAUGCCUGGCUUUCUCUGCCCCAGUAGGAGCCUUAGGAACUCUUUGGCUGCCUUUUCACUUUAAGGGGGCUUAGUUGGAGUACCUGGGGAGUCCCAGCUGCACGGCCCACUCCGGGCCUCUGGGGGCUGGUCCACGGGCCGUUGUGAUGUACGCCCUGGCUCUGUGUCCCUCCCGCAGGGGCAACUCGAGAACCAGGCAGAAGGGCAGCUGCUGCCUGGGAUCGGAGGCUUUGGAGUCAGCUCCUAUGGAUGCCGAAUCGGAGGCCCUCCCAUGCCCUGCCUCGGCUGUUUACGAACUGCAACGGCACGUUGUAUCGUGGUGUAUGCCCAAGAGAAAGAAAAACACGUGUCUACACAAAGGCUUGUGCACAGAUAUUAAUACCAGCUUUAUUUGUAAUAGACAAAGUCUGGAGCAUCCCAGAUGCCCGUCAUUAGGAGAAUGGAUAGAGAAAUGGCAGUAUAUUCAUAUAGUGGAAUUGUUCAGUUGCUAAGUCAUGUCCAAUUCUUUGCGAUCCCAUGGGCUGCAGCAUGCCGGGCUCCUCAGUCCUCCACUGUCUUCCGGAGUUUGCUCAAAUUUAUGUCCACUGAGCCAGUGCUACUAUCCAACCAUCUCAUCCUCUGCCACCCUGUUCUCCUUUUGCCUUCAAUCUUUCCCAGCAUCAGGGUCUUUUCCAAUGAGUCGGCUCUUCACAUCAGGUGGCCAAAGUAUUGGAGCUUCAGCAACAAUCCUGCCAAUGAAAAUUCAGGGUUAAUUUCCUUUAGGGUUGACUGCUAUGAUCUCCUUGCUGUCCAAGGGACUCUCAAGAGUCUUCUCCAAUACUCAGUAAUAAAAAUGAACAACUGAGAUAUCCAAUGACGUGGAUGAAUCGAAAAAAAAAAGGGGGGGCUAGUGAAAGAAGCUAGACAUCAUCUCUGUGAUUCUAUUUGUGUGAAACUCUAGAGAAGACAAAACGAAUCUGAUAGAGAUCAGGUUAGGCAUUGUCUGAGAGUAGAGAUGUAUUGGCCAGAAAGGAGACUGAAGGAAACUUCCAGAAUAGGAAAUGUUUCAUGUCUCGAUCUGAGUGGUUAGUUACACCGUGUUCACAAAGGUGGAAAUUAAUAGAGCUCCAGACUUAAGGUUUUGUGCCUUUUAUGUAGAUUGCCCUUCCCUUUGUAAAAAUGCAAACAUAAUGUAAAUGAAGGAAGGGCCGGUCUUCAGAGCCCUCCUUGAAGUGGUCACCCAGGGUGACUCUGCCUUAGGCAUCUCCAGCCUCAUUAGAAGAAGGCAGGGGAG
ensembl:lncRNA